UAAUACGUACCGGACGAACGUUAUUCGGAAUUACUGGGCUUAAAGAGUGCGUAGGCGGCUUUGAAGGUGGGGUGUGAAAGCCCACGGCUCAACCGUGGAAUUGCGCUCCAAACCGCAAGGCUUGAGGAAGACAGAGGUGAGCGGAACUGAUGGUGGAGCGGUGAAAUGCGUUGAUAUCAUCAGGAACACCCGUGGCGAAGGCGGCUCACUGGGUCUUAUCUGACGCUGAGGCACGAAAGCUAGGGGAGCGAACGGGAUUAGAUACCCCGGUAGUCCUAGCUGUAAACGAUGAGCACUAGAUCGUGGGGACCUCCACAUCCUCUCGGUCGUAGCGAAAGUGUUAAGUGCUCCGCCUGGGGAGUAUGGUCGCAAGGCUG
rnacentral:rRNA from 1 species